rnacentral:rRNA from 1 species
GCUGUAAGCAAGCUUUGAUCCGGAGAUUUCCGAAUGGGGAAACCCACUGCUCGUAAUGGAGUAGUAUCCAUACUUGAAUACAUAGAGUAUGAGAAGGCAUACCCGGGGAACUGAAACAUCUAAGUACCCGGAGGAAGAGAAAGCAAAUGCGAUUCCCUGAGUAGCGGCGAGCGAAACGGGAACAGCCCAAACCAAGAGGCUUGCCUCUUGGGGUUGUAGGACACUCUAUACGGAGUUACAAAGGAACGAUAUAAGCGAAGAGGUCUGGAAAGGCCCGCCAAAGAAGGUAACAGCCCUGUAACUGAAAUGUUGUUCUCUCCAGAGUGGAUCCUGAGUACGGCGGAACACGUGAAAUUCCGUCGGAAUCCGGGAGGACCAUCUCCCAAGGCUAAAUACUCCCUAGUGACCGAUAGUGAACCAGUACCGUGAGGGAAAGGUGAAAAGCACCCCGGAAGGGGAGUGAAAUAGAUCCUGAAACCGUGUGCCUACAAGUAGUCAGAGCCCGUUAAAGGG